UUAGGCGUCUCUUCGCAUUCACGGCCUAGAGGCUAGAGUACCAACCAGUCCCAAAAACCCCAACCAUGCUGCGGCCACGCGCUCCGGCUUCCGCCGCCCACUUCGUCGCCGCCAAGCUCGCCGCCCAAGGAAUCAGCGCCCAUCAGGUCGACCCCGACUACCUCAGCCGCCUCCAGCUCCUCCACCCCGACGGCGAUUCCUCCGCCGACUUCGUCGCUGCCAAGCUCGCCGCCCAAGGAAUCAGCACCCAUCAGGUCGACCCCGACUACCUCAGCCGCCUCCAGCACCUCCACUCCGGCGGCGAUUCCUCCGCCCUCGAGCACCCUGCCCGCGGCCGUCCCGGCACCCCUCCCCACGCCAUCAAGUGCGAGCAGCCCGAGGAUGGCGAAGCCCGAACCGCCCCCCUCCCCUCCCCAGCCCCGGAAGGAGGCGACCGCCUGGUGGAGGAGAAGGAACCCCCCGCGGAGAUCCCUUGGUACGAAACAGGGGAAAUGGAUGAGAGCUACCGUCAACUAUGGCGGCACACGCACAAGGACGGUGACACGCUAGUGCUCGAGAUACAGGGCGAGGUUGUGCGCUACGGGCAGGAAGCUGAUGCAGAGAAGAAGGAUGGGGAGGAAGCGGCUGCCCGUGCUGCUCCGGGGCAGAACGGCGGCGGCGUUAGGAAGGGGAAGGGGAAGAGGAAGGUGGGCAGGCCUGCGCUGAAGGCUCGUGUGCUUGAUUCCCCUCCGCAUUGGCAAAAGGGUCGGAAGGAGAAGAAAAGAGGGGAAGAUGGUGGUAAGAAGAUCAAGCGGGAGGAGGGAAAAGAAGAUCAAGGUGGAGGAGUUAAAAAUCGUGCUAAGAAGAUCAAGUAUCGUGUGCGCGAUUCCCCUGCGCAUCGGCAGAAGAGUAAGGGAGAGAAGGACGGAGGGGAAAAUGGUGCUGAGAAGAUCAAGGAGGAGGAGGAGGGAGACGAGAAGGUGCCAGUGAUUAGCACGGGUACGCCUCCGCUGAAGGCUCGUGUUCGCGAUUCCCCUGCGCAUUGGCAACAGGGUCGGAAGGAGAAGAAAGGAGUGAAAAAUGGUGCUAAGAAGAUCAAGUUGGAGGAUGAUGAAGAGAAGCCGUCGGGGGAGCUGCCUGUGGAAACACUGAAUACUGUGAACAGAGAAAGGAAUUCAAGAUAUGAUGCCGAGCCUCACAUUGAUUCGGGAUUAGAUGGUUUUGUAUGGCCUAAACAUAUCAUGGAGAGGCCAGAUUCAGAAUUCAAGGAAAGGUUGAUGCGUGUUCUCCGCAAACCAUUUAGCCAGGGAGAAUACGAUAUGCUGCUUGGUAAUGCUACAAUUCGCCUUCCGGCAACAAAGAAAAGGCAGACGCGCAGCGGUGUGAAGUACUACGACUCUACACAUGAAAGGGUGCAAUCAUAUUUUGAUUGUCACCCAGGUCCAAAGGUCUGCGACACGAUGGGAGUGCAAAGAUAAAUUCCCAACAUAUUUAUUAUAGUUGCUACAGUAUAAUAAAUGGCUGUUUUGCUUGAGAAGUUGCCUUUCCCAAUAAGGCUGCAAAAUGAGUCUAUGAGAUAAUAAAUGAAGCAAUCUAUGAUACUACUACUAUGUUACUUUGCACUAUGGAGAUAGUAACUUACACUAGUGUCAUAUGCAUGACACUAGUCUAAGUUACUCCCCACUAUGACCAGCCUAAGACGAGAAAGUAGUAGCAAAUCAUAUUGAUCUUGCGAAACAAGUACGUGUAGAAAGCACCAGCAAACCCAAUCAAUUAGCUCUGUUGCGUGGAUUUUUCUUCUGGAUGGAGAAUAUUACGAAUGAGGACCAAUUCAGGCCAUGGAGUGAUGAUUUCAAACUUUACAAGAUUAUUCCUUCCAUGGAAUGAGAUUAUCUACAGAAUUACAGAAGACCUCUCCUUUCUCAACUAGCAAAACUGAGGGGGUUUCCCGUGGUAUUGUUAUUUGUCAGCACAACUCGUUGUAGUGAUUUUAAGAGAAACUAGUAGCCUAUCUUGGUACUCACGACCCCCCAAAUGAAUUAUCUUUAGACCCUAGUUUGCUCAGCCUCUCUUUCAGGUGGAAGGUUUAUGGACAAGAUGCUGUCGACAGCCAAUGUAUUGUUUUGUAUAUGUGCAACUGCGGUCAUGACUUUGGAAUGCUCUAGUAAUGCUUCUUUUUUAUGGAACA